rnacentral:rRNA from 1 species
UAACACGUAAAGAACCUGCCUCAUAGACUGGGACAACUAUUGGAAACGAUAGCUAAUACCGGAUAACAGCAUUAACUGCAUGGUUGAUGUUUAAAAGUUGGUUUUGCUAACACUAUGAGAUGGCUUUGCGGUGCAUUAGCUAGUUGGUGGGGUAAAGGCCUACCAAGGCGACGAUGCAUAGCCGACCCGAGAGGGUGAUCGGCCACACUGGGACUGAGACACGGCCCAG